UACGGUAGGGCGCAAGCGUUGUCCGGAAUUAUUGGGCGUAAAGAGCUCGUAGGCGGUUUGUCGCGUCUGCUGUGAAAACCCGAGGCUCAACCUCGGGCCUGCAGUGGGUACGGGCAGACUAGAGUGUGGUAGGGGAGACUGGAAUUCCUGGUGUAGCGGUGGAAUGCGCAGAUAUCAGGAGGAACACCAAUGGCGAAGGCAGGUCUCUGGGCCACAACUGACGC
rnacentral:rRNA from 1 species